GCCAAAUAUCAACAGGGGAAAUUAGGAGGGGAAUCCCAAACAGCUGACACAGCGCAACCCGAAGUCCAGUGGACAUUGGAGAUGAUGUGUGAUAACAUUAAUGUUUAUUCAACAUUUCGUGCAAA